AGACUAUUUUUCGGGGGAAGCUCAGUCGUUUAUCGACCGGUAUCGUGACACCCACGGGGUCGAGCCGAUCUGCAAGGUUUUGCAGGUCGCCCCG
rfam:Nitrosomonas sp. Is79A3, complete genome.